CUACAGCGUCCCGGGCUCUACAGGUGACCCAGCUCCACAGCCACUCGGACGCCACCACCUUAGCUGCCAUCACCUCACACUGGAGCAGCUUCCUAAACAGGUGCCACCAUGCCAGUGAAGAAGUACCUCCUGAAGUGCCUGCACCGGCUGCAGAAGGGCCCAGGCUACACCUACAAGGAGCUGCUAGUGUGGUACUGCAAUAACACCAACACCCACGGCCCCAAACGCAUCAUCUGUGAGGGGCCCAAGAAGAAGGCCAUGUGGUUCCUGCUUACGCUGCUCUUCGCCUGCCUGGUGUGCUGGCAGUGGGGAGUCUUCAUCCAGACCUACCUGAGCUGGGAGGUCAGCGUCUCGCUCUCCAUGGGCUUCAAGACGAUGAACUUCCCGGCGGUCACCGUCUGCAAUUCCAGCCCCUUCCAGUACUCCAAGGUCAAGCACUUGCUCAAGGACUUGGAUGAGCUAAUGGAGGCAGUCCUGGAAAAGAUUCUGGCUCCAGAGGCCAGCCACAGCAACACCACCAGGACCCUGAACUUUACCAUCUGGAACCACACACCCCUGGUCCUUAUUGAUGAGCGGAACCCUGACCACCCGGUGGUUCUCAAUUUGUUUGGGGACAGCCACAACAGCAGCAACCCGGCUCCAGGAAGCACCUGCAAUGCCCAGGGAUGCAAAGUGGCCAUGAGGCUGUGCAGUGCCAAUGGAACUGUGUGUACCUUGCGGAACUUCACCAGUGCCACCCAGGCCGUAACUGAGUGGUACAUCCUGCAGGCCACCAACAUCUUCUCACAAGUGCUUCCUCAGGACCUGGUGGGGAUGGGCUAUGCCCCUGAUCGCAUAAUCCUAGCUUGCCUGUUUGGAACAGAGCCCUGCAGUCAUCGGAACUUCACGCCUAUCUUCUACCCUGAUUAUGGCAACUGCUACAUCUUCAACUGGGGCAUGACAGAGGAGACACUUCCUUCUGCCAACCCUGGGACUGAAUUUGGUCUCAAGUUGAUCCUGGACAUCGGUCAGGAGGACUAUGUCCCCUUCCUUGCGUCCACAGCAGGGGCUAGGCUGAUGCUUCAUGAGCAGAGGACGUACCCCUUCAUUAGAGAGGAGGGCAUCUAUGCCAUGGCAGGAACUGAGACGUCUAUUGGGGUGCUGGUGGACAAGCUGCAACGCAAGGGGGAGCCCUACAGUCCCUGCACCAUGAACGGCUCCGAUGUUGCCAUAAAGAACCUCUACAGUGUCUACAACACCACCUAUUCCAUCCAGGCCUGUCUUCAUUCCUGUUUCCAAGACCACAUGAUCCGUAACUGCAGUUGUGGCCACUACUUAUACCCACUGCCUGAAGGAGAGAAAUACUGCAACAACAGGGACUUCCCAGACUGGGCCUAUUGCUAUCUAAACCUGCAGAUGAGUGUGACCCAGAGAGAGACCUGCCUCAGCAUGUGCAAGGAGUCCUGCAAUGACACCCAGUAUAAGAUGACCAUCUCCAUGGCUGACUGGCCAUCUGAGGCCUCUGAGGAUUGGAUCUUACAUGUCCUGUCUCAGGAGCGGGACCAGAGCUCGAAUAUCACCCUGAGCAGGCCUGGUUUAAAUCUCCCCACUGCUGAGAACAGCUCAGACUGGAGGUGAGCAGGGUGCCAUGGAGUGCCUUUCCCACGGGGUGCAUGCAUGCACCCAUCCUGGGAGGGACGACAGACCGUGGUCCCAGCAUGCCUUGCUGCCUCCUGCAGGAAGGGUAUUGUCAAGCUCAAUAUCUACUUCCAAGAGUUCAACUACCGUACCAUUGAGGAAUCUCCAGCCAACAAUAUUGUGUGGCUGCUCUCUAACCUGGGGGGCCAGUUUGGCUUCUGGAUGGGGGGCUCGGUGCUGUGCCUCAUUGAGUUUGGGGAGAUCAUUAUCGACUUCAUUUGGAUCACCAUCAUCAAGCUGGUGGCCUCCUGCAAAGGCCUGCGCAGGAGGCGGCCACAGGCACCCUACACUGGCCCACCGCCCACUGUGGCUGAGCUGGUAGAGGCCCACACCAACUUUGGCUUCCAGCCUGACACAACCAGCUGCAGGCCCCACGGCGAGGUCUACCCUGACCAACAGACUCUGCCCAUCCCGGGGACUCCACCCCCCAACUAUGACUCCCUGAGGCUGCAGCCGCUGGACACCAUGGAGUCGGACAGUGAGGUGGAGGCCAUCUAGAUCCCCACCCCCACCCAGCAACUAGUGAACUCAAAACUGAAGAGUUACAACCAUUGUCAGUGCCUCGUUUCAUUAGGCCUUGUACAAAGAGCCGGGGGCACCGUUGCCCAAGCCAGAGCCCAUGUCUGGUCAGCCCCAGGCUGCAGGGUUCUUAGGGUCAGAUGCUGGUUCCAGAAUACGGAACUUGUAUCCUUUUCUGGCUCUUGCGUACCCUACCCAGUAUUUGCUCUCUGUUGAUCUAGCACACAGGCUCCAGAGAUGGCUAGAGUCCCUCUCCUGGUUGAUAGGCCACUUUCCUGUCUGUUACCACCUCAGUCUCCCAGAAUCCUUGCCCUAGUUGGCAUUGGUUGACCUCUGUUAACAGACUUGGGGGGGUGCAGAUCAUAGGGAGAUCAGGUAAGAAGUCUUGAAAGGGGAACACGUGCUUUGUUAGAAAAUAAAGAGAGAAAACACUGGAUGGAGGUUUGUUCUUUAUCCCACUGGGUAGCUGGGGUGCACUGAAGCAAACUGACUUCAGUAAAACCAGGCAUGGGGAUGGAGGGCAGACACCUAUAAUCCCAGGUCGGAAGAUCCAAGUUCAAGACCAGCUUGGACUAUACAGAUUGUCUCAGAAAACCAAACAGCACAAACAAAAACCCCACAAAACAAAUAAAUGUUCUCAAGCACCCC